rnacentral:rRNA from 1 species
UGGGUGACGAAGGCCUUCGGGUUGUAAAGCCCUGUCGGGAGGGAAGAAAAACAAUAUGGCUAAUAUCCAUAAUGCUUGACGGUACCUCUAAAGGAAGCACCGGCUAACUACGUGCCAGCAGCCGCGGUAAUACGUAGGGUGCUAGCGUUGUUCGGAAUCAUUGGGCGUAAAGCGCGUGUAGGCUGUUUAUUAAGUCGGGUGUGAAAUCCCUGGGCUCAACCGAGGAAGUGCAUCCGAAACUAAUAAACUUGAAGACGGUAGAGGAAGGUGGAAUUCCAAGUGUAGAGGUGAAAUUCGUAGAUAUUUGGAGGAAUACCGGUGGCGAAGGCGGCCUUCUGGGCCGUUCUUGACGCUGAGACGCGAAAGCGUGGGUAGCAAACAGGAUUAGAUACCCUGGUAGUCCACGCCGUAAACGAUGGGUACUAGGUGUUGUGGGAAUUGACCCCUACAGUGCCGAAGCUAACGCAUUAAGUACCCCGCCUGGGAAGUACGGCCGCAAGGUUAAAACUCAAAGGAAUUGACGGGGGCCCGCACAAGCGGUGGAGCAUGUGGUUUAAUUCGAUGCAACGCGAAGAACCUU